GACGAACGCUGGCGGCGUGCUUAACACAUGCAAGUCGAACGGAAAGGCCCUGCUUUUGUGGGGUGCUCGAGUGGCGAACGGGUGAGUAACACGUGAGUAACCUGCCCUUGACUUUGGGAUAACUUCAGGAAACUGGGGCUAAUACCGGAUAGGAGCUCCUGCUGCAUGGUGGGGGUUGGAAAGUUUCGGCGGUUGGGGAUGGACUCGCGGCUUAUCAGCUUGUUGGUGGGGUAGUGGCUUACCAAGGCUUUGACGGGUAGCCGGCCUGAGAGGGUGACCGGCGACAUUGGGACUGAGAUACGGACCAGACUCCUACGGGAGGCAGCAGUGGGGAAUAUUGCACAAUGGGCGGAAGCCUGAUGCAGAAACGCCGCGUGCGGGAUGACGGCCUUCGGGCUGUAAACCGCUUUCGCCUGUGACGAAGCGUGAGUGACGGUAAUGGGUAAAGAAGCACCGGCUAACUACGUG
rnacentral:rRNA from 1 species